rnacentral:sRNA from 1 species
UGCACUCGUAGCGCUUCUGACGUAUUCC